GUGGUGAUCAAUGGGCCUAGUCCAGAAGACUCUGUCUGUAUGUCCCAUAGGGAGGUCACAAAGAAGUCCUUAUUGAGGGCAGAUAUCUGGACUCACCACAUUCAGUAACUGGGAGAGAGCUGAGAACUGGAAAUUUGAGGUGGAGUUUUCCCAUGUUGCCCAUGCUGGUCUGGAACUCCUGAGCACAGGUGAUCCACCCGCUUCUGCCUCCCAAAGUGCUGGAAUUACAGGCAUGAGUGACUGCGCCUGACCCAUUUCCUUGUUUCUCUUUUCUUUGUUUUUCCCACCUCCCGUAGAAACAACUGAAGAACAGCAGA
rnacentral:lncRNA from 10 species